GUAAGGAAUAUUGGUCAAUGGGGGCAACCCUGAACCAGCCAUGCCGCGUGAAGGAUGAAGGCGUUAUGCGUUGUAAACUUCUUUUGUAUGGGAAGAAUGACAGGGAUUUAUCCUUGGAGAGACGGUACCAUACGAAUAAGCACCGGCUAACUCCGUGCCAGCAGCCGCGGUAAUACGGAGGGUGCAAGCGUUAUCCGGAAUCACUGGGUUUAAAGGGUACGUAGGCGGUUAAUUAAGUCAGUAGUGAAAGACUGUCGCUCAACGACGGAUGUGCUAUUGAUACUGGUUAACUUGAAUCAGGUUAGAGUUGGCGGAAUGGGUCAUGUAGCGGUGAAAUGCUUAGAUAUCAUCCAGAACACCGAUUGCGAAGGCAGGUGGCUACGAUUUAUUUGACACUGAUGCACGAAAGCAUGGGGAGCAAACAGGAUUAGAAACCCUAGUAGUCC
rnacentral:rRNA from 1 species